CAGCGCCACAAGUGGGGAUCAGCUUUAUUGGGCCUAAAGCGUCCGUAGCCGGUUCGGUAAAUCUCUGGGUAAAUCGUUGGGCUUAACUCAGCGAAUUCUGGGGAGACUGCCGAACUUGGGACCGGGAGAGGUCGGAGGUACUCCAGGGGUAGGGGUGAAAUCCUGUAAUCCUUGGGGGACCACCGGUGGCGAAAGCGUCCGACCAGAACGGGUCCGACGGUAAGGGACGAAGCCCCGGGUCGCGAACCGGAUUAGAUACCCGAGUAGUCC
rnacentral:rRNA from 1 species